rnacentral:rRNA from 1 species
AGAGUUUGAUUCUGGCUCAGGAUGAACGCUGGCGGCGUGCCUAACACAUGCAAGUCGAACGGAAACCAGACGCUUCGGAGACUUCGGUCAAUGUUGUUGGUUUAGUGGCGGACGGGUGAGUAACGCGUGGAUAACCUGCCAUAUACAGGGGGAUAACAGUUAGAAAUGACUGCUAAUACCGCAUAAGCGCACAGUCUCGCAUGGGACAGUGUGAAAAAACUCCGGUGGUAUAUGAUGGAUCCGCGUCUGAUUAGCCAGUUGGCGGGUAACGGCCCACCAAAGCGACGAUCAGUAGCCGGCCUGAGAGGGUGAACGGCCACAUUGGGACUGAGACACGGCCCAAACUCCUACGGGAGGCAGCAGUGGGGGAUAUUGCACAAUGGGGGAAACCCUGAUGCAAGCGACGCCGCGUGAGUGAAGAAGUAUUUCGGUAUGUAAAGCUCUAUCAGCAGGGAAGAUAAUGACGGUACCUGACUAAGAAGCACCGGCUAAAUACGUGCCAGCCGCCGC